UAAGAUAGGGAUAACGGAAGGCGGCACAAUUGAAAGAGACGACAUGAUUGUGCAGGUAAAAGACACAUAUGUAUCUUCAAAUUUUAUGAAUAGUGUUGAUAAGGAAAUUAUUGUUAUUAUAAUUAUAUAUUGAUUGGGCGAAACUGGGGUGCACAUAGUUGUAGUGAAUAUAGGAUUGUUUCGUUUUGUUAGUGGUGAAAAAGAUCAGAGAAUUGGAAAAAUACAAAAUUCAUGAUGUAGUGAUUGGUGAAGUUAUAGGUAAAACUCAAUCAGGUUCUAAUUUCAUGUCUUAUAAAUUGUGGAAGGAUGUCAUUAAAUAUUACAAUUAUUAUUAUUAUUAUAUAGGGAACAUAUAGUAAAGGCAUAGCAACAAAUUGAAAUAAGCUGCUAACAUGCGUGGAUUCUUCUUUUUUUUUUUUUGGUUUUUAUUAAUUUAGUGUUAAUAUUUAACUAAGGAGGAGAAGUGAACAUAAAGUCUAAUUUGCAGGGUCAAUUUUUUUGUGUUGUUUGGUGGAAGACUAAUUGGUUUAUAAUAUUAAAAUGGAACUCCAUAAUCAUUGACAAUUGAAUAGUUAUUACAAUCCUUAUAUUAUAUAGAUGGAUUAGAGUUAUUAGAGAGUGGAAAUCCUCAAUGAUGCACAUAAUGUUAGUAUCUGGUUAUGAUUUAAGUUUUAACAUAUUGAAAAAGGUAAUUAAAUAUCAGGUGUAUUGUACUGUACUUACAAAAGUUGUAUAUUUGAUGGAUUGGAAAGGAUCGGAAAUAUUGAGGAAAGAAAAGUCAUUGAAAAAGUAGUUUUCUUGAAAUCGGUUCUUCGGUGAAGGUAGGUUAUGGUUUAUGCUAUUUUAUAGUAAACUUUUAAUAGUGAUUGAUAUUCAUUGAAUGAUAUUAUUAAGUUUUCUUUGUACUUGAUUUUGUGGUUGUGAGGCUUGGUUGUGUGUUUUGUGAUUGAUCUGGAAUCCUGAGACCGUGAAGUUAUAUUCUUGAACUCUCUUUAUCGAAGUGAUGCCUUGAAUAAAGAAGGUUUGAUGAAAUAAUAUAACAAUAAUUGAAAGUGGUGAUAAUAAAGGAUAAGUUGACGGUCUUCUUGGAUUGGAGUAUCACGUUCUGACACGGUCUUCUUGGAUCAGAGUGUCACGUUCCGACACGAUACUUUUCGAUCGUAGUGUCACAUUCUGAUACAGUAUAAUUGAAUCGGAGUGUCACGUUUUUACAUGACAUAAUUUGAUCGGAGUGUAACGUUCAGACACAGCAACAUUAAAGGAAAAGGAUAUUGAAUUAAUUUAAUGUACUCAAUCUCGAAUAGCCCAUUUCCCAAUGAACGUGGUGUGGAGGCAUGAGUCCUCGUAUGUGCUUUAUAUUGUGAUUGAUUACGUACUUGUUUCAGUUGUCACUUGUUCAUGUUAUUUGUUGCUCAUCACAUAUUAAGUAUGAUAGUUGAUUUUAUACUAUUAUUCUUUUUAUAUUAGUUACUAUUUUGGCUUGACCGAUGAUACUUAGUCAGUACAUGUUGCCUCGUACUGAGCCCUACAUAUAUUUUUCUUUGUUUUCCUCAUAUAGAGUGCAACAAGCGUACCGAUGAAUUUGAAUCUUCCUCACCUCUAUCAAGUCUCGGCAUAUCAGGUUCAAGGGUGAGCUAUUCAUUCGAGGUUGAGUUCGAUUCUCUUAGUCAUUACCUGAUGUCCUUAGUUUUUCGGACACAAAUUACUUUAUUUCAUUUAUUUUGGUGUCUUUGAUACUCUUACACAUAGUAAUUGAAGAUUAGAUGUCCUUGUUGUGAUGAUUGGGAAAAGAUAUUUACUAUGUUUUUGAGCUUCUGCAUUAUGCUUGUAGUUUAUAAGUUGGGGUUAAAUUCAUUGGUUCUCCCACCUAGUGAGUUAAGUGUGGGUGCCACUCACGACUCGUUUUGGGUCGUGAAAGUUUUCUUGUAACAGCAGUACCUGAUAGUAUGAUUAGAUAAAUAUAAAAAAUAUGUUUUCAUUUAUAAUUGGGAAAAUACACAAGUACCCCUUAAACUAUGAUCGAAAUUUCAGAGACACGCCUUAACUAAACUAAGGUCCCAUUACCCACGAACCCAUUUUUUGUUGUAAUUUUGUGCUUCUUCUGGCUUAUGUGGCAUCCUAUAUCUCCCGCGUGCCUCAAUUGUGUGGAGUCACGGAGUGUGCCACGUAAGACAAAAUGUGUACAAAGUUACAAAAUAAGUUUAAUGGGGGGGGGGGGGGGGAAGGAGUAAUAGGACCUUAUUUUAGUUAAGGUGUGUCUCUUGAAUUUCUGUCAUAAUCUAGGGUUACUAAUGUCUUAUCCCUUAAUAUUUUAAAUUUUUAAAUAGGAUAUUCACUUAUUUCAAUAUGGUAUUAGAACAAGUAAAAAGUCAUCUAUAAAAACUAAGUAAAUAAUGCAUCAAUUAAAAAAAAUUAACUUGUAAUUUCAAUAUAUAGUUGCAUAAAUUCACUAAAUAUAAUAACCAUGCAUGAUUAAUUAGCGUAGACUCAACCUCUAAAUUGUUACUUAUAAAUUAUGUUAUCAAAAAUCAAUACGGAUACCAUAUGAAGUAAAUAUACUCUUAGGUUGGUUAGGACAUAAGAUGUGAAAUCAUAUUAUGAUAUCAGAGUAUUAUUAGGAGUCGCAUCGAUAAAUCACACAUCUCUUUUAUAUAAUGUUUUGUAAUUAGGAACUUUCAAAUAUACAUAAUUUUAUAAAUAUCUAGUAGUGGUAGUAGUAAUUAGUUAUUCAUUAAUUUAAUUCUUUCCCAUGGUAGAAUAAUCUCUUCACGUGGAGCAUAAGUCCAUUUUUAUAAAAUUCGAAGUGAUGGUUUAUAUAUUAACUUAUAGAUCAAGAGUUGCGUUAAAAAAAUUAAAUUAGGGUUUGAAAAUAAAAAUCAUACUCUGUUGGAUGGAGAUGUUAGUCUCAAAUCUCAUGUCCAAUUAUUGAUUUGAAAUCAAGAUGUCAUAGUGUAUGUCUAAAUACAAGGUUAGAAUAAAAUAGUUGUAUAACAAAUAUAAUUUCACCUCUAUUUUGAUUACUCAAUUAGAAGAAUGUGAGUAGAAAUAAGAGAUUAUGUCUACUAAUGAGUAAAAUUUUGGACUUGCAAUUUGAUGUCGCAAUAAGAAAUCACGAGAUGAAAUGAACGUUUGGACAUGCGAUUUUACGCUGAUUGCAUAUCAUGAGAUUAAAUAUCAAAUUCUCCAAAAAUCAUGACCUGAAAAUUUUCAAAUCCAAAGAUAGACCAACAAAUUUAAAUUUUGUAAAAACAAAUUACAUCUAUAUCUACUAAUAAUUUAUUUCAUACGUAUUAUAAAAUAUAUAAUUCAUACCAUUACAUUUUGUAAUGACCCAUUUGGUUGUUUUGAGUACUAGAGCUUUCUAUGACAUAAAAUACUUUCUGAAAGGUUCUAAAUAAAUAUUUUGGACUAUUUGUAAUUAUAAUUAUUAAAUUAGUGGGGUUGUUUUAAUAUUUUAUUUAGUUGGUGGUUAAAGAAAAUAACAUUAUAAUUUACUGUAGUUCACUUUUAAGAUUUAUUUUAUAACUAUGUAAUGACCCAAAAUGUCAUUUUUAAUAAUUCAUCAAUAGCCAUUUAACUAUCAUUAAUUUAUUUGUGAGCAUUUUUUUAACAUUAAUAAUAAUUGGCCAAGUCUAAAAUAUUAAAAUAGUUUAGUAAACAAAUUUUAACUUCUAGUACAUAACAAAUUAAAAAAUAAAGAGAAGUGUUUGACAAGAGGAGUUGUGGUUCAGCGUCAAUGAGAAAAGCGACCAACUUCUUCAGGUAAGUUUCUCACCAAAAUCUCUAACUAUGUAGUUAUUCUAAAUUAGGUGUACACUAAUCAUAUUAACUGGAGGCAAAAGGACUUCAACUCUCAAAUUUAUUAUUAUUAAAAUUAUAUGGACAAGGAUUAGUGGACAAUCGCAUGCUUACCAAUUGAACAACUAACGUAUUGCAACUAAUCAUGGGUAGUUUUUGAUGACAAAUGUAUAAGGUUAUAAUUUUCCAUGUAAUUGGUUAGAAGUUUCUGCCUUUGUAUUUAUUUUUUCUUUCGUGUCUUUGUAAAUUGUGUUUAUCUGUACUUUCAAUUUUUCUCUUCUGACUAUUAAGUUACGUUUUAGGUUUGGCAAGGUAAAUCAAAUCUAAGAAUAUCAUAUUAUAUGAAUAUCCUUAGAUUUAUCUAAUUUGGAGAGACUCAAACUUAACCCUAGGUAAGAAAUUUAAAAAAAAUGAGAAUUGAUAUAUUAAUUGACAUCGUGGUCAGGAACUUGAUUAUAGAGUUGAAUGAGUGUUUGGGUCUAGGCUAGACUUGUAGUGAUAUGGGUGUUGUUAGUUUAAAAAUCUUACUGUGAUUAUUUAUUUGAAUAGAUUGUAUUGAUAUGGGAGUCAAACGAAAGAGGAAGGCUCAAGUUCUUGAAUAAUUGUUCGACUAUUAGAGGCAAGUGGAUAUCUUAACUCUUGUUAAGUGUAUGAAAUGCGUGUAUUUCGUUGUGGUAUAUGUUUUGGAGUAACAGGAUUUGUGAUGGGUUGACUUGUUCACAUUGAUUAACUCUAAUGAUGAAAAAAGGGUAACAAAAGACAAUGUGAUUAAUUGUUUAUGUUGGAUGUGUUGAGAAACGUUUGAAGCUUGUUAAGUCAUUGUUGAUGUGAUAUUCUUUUUCGGUUGUUGUGCAUUGUGCAAUGUUAUGAAAAUGGUCAUAUCCUCUUUAUUUGUGUGAACAUGUCAUUUACAUUAUUUUAAGACAUAGUUGUUACAAGUGUUAUGUGCAUUGAGAAAGAAUGAGAAUUUAGGAAGGAUGUACAAUUUCGAUGGACGUAUCGCGCGCCAUGAUGGAUUAUUUAUUUCGAGGGACGUAUCGCAUGCCAUGAUGGUUACUAUUAUCGAGGGUCGUGUCGUGUGCCGCGAUAGAUGCAUGGACAGAUAUGUCUCCCAUGGGUCCCGGACUGAGAGAAAGCGAGUGUGUAUCACUAGGUCAGACAUGCAUCAUUAUACUUGACAUUGCAUUCCAUUGCAUUGGACAUACUUAUCAUUUGUGAACUUGAUAUCGUGUUUUGUUGAUCUUAUGAUUGCCUUUCUACGGAACUUAUGAUUGAUCAUUAUUGAGCUUGUUAUUGUGGAUAUAUAAUUUGUUAAACUGUUGUUGUUGAGGGUAUGUAAUUUGUCUAUGUGUUGUUAUUGAGCUAUGUGCUUUGUAAACUAUGAGCUUUUAGGUUGGGUUGAUUUUUAUGCAGGUUUUAGUUGUGGAGGUUUGGUUGGGGGUGGUAAGAGUACCCGUAUUUCAUCCCCUUAGCUUGUGUUUAGAGGUUUACUUGUUGAGUACCGUGUGGUUUGGUACUCACCCCUUGCUUCUUUUUGUAAGUUAUGAGCCUGGAUUUUUGUUAUACUUUUCAUUCUCUUCUUUUUUGUGGUUUCUUGGAGAUUUGUGAGGUAACUGUUUCUAUCUCAACAGACUUUCUUCCCCUUAAUUAUGAUCUUGUUCUAUUCUAGAAACAAAUUAAUUUGAGACGUAAGUUUUUCUUUUGAAUCAAUUUUAAAAUUUUAGAGUCUUGUACACCCGACUACCAGGUUUUGGGAUUUUUAUUAAGUUACUUAUAUUAUAUUUUCUCACUUUAUUGUAAUGGUUGAGUUUAGGCUGACUUUUCUUGGUGGAUAAGCCGAGUGCCAUCACGUCCAUUUUUGGUUCGUGACAAAAUUGUAUUUGAGCACCAGGUUCAUAGGUCUCACGUGUGUACAAGUCGAGUCUAAGUAGACUCUCGAGGAUCGGUACGGAGACGUCUGUACUUAUCUUUGAGAGGCUAUAGUGACUAUUAAGAAAACUCUUCACUUUUUGAAUCUCUCUCCUGCAUCAUUUGUCUUAUUUUCAUUCACAUCGCUUCAUUCUAUUCUCUCUCACUUAUGUGAUAACUCAUGCGUAGUUCUUCAUGUGAGUAGUUGAUGUCAUCUAUGAUUUGAAGGUUAGAUCCUGUAUUACAAUGAAAGUAAUAUAAUUAUGAAAAAAAGGUGUGGUUAGAUUUAAAAAGUUCAACAAUUUCAAUGGGCUGUGUAAGAUUAGUUACCCUAGUAAAGUGAAUAGUUCUUGUGUGGUAUAAACAAUAAUUAGAUUGGUUAAACACUAAAAGUGAAAUGAUUAAAGGGAGAGCCAGAUAAUGGACAACUGAUUUUGUAAACUGCAAUUAGUAAAUUUAUCAUAACAUGAAUGAGUUCCUUAGAAAAUGGUGAUAAUAAUGAUGCAUCAAUUAAGGUUAGAAUUUGUACCACAACAAUAUUGAUGCUUACAUUGUUAGAGUUAUGGAGUGUGUUACUUUUGUUAUUGACCUGAUCUACAAAGGGAUGUGAAUAGCUUUGGAUCAGAGGCCGAAAAGAUUUGAUAGUGUAUGUUAGUUACUUAAUGAGGCAGAAAUGUGUAGGUUAUUUGGGUACAAUAUUCUCGAUAGGUACGAUGUGUGUCCUAGUUGUGGAUUUAACAGAUUUCAUAAGGUGAUACUAAUGGUACAUGAAAACUGAUAUGUUGAUGUCAAGUACGAUUACAAACCACUUAAAGAGUUAUCAAUUAUAUCACAUGUUCAUAUAAUGAGAUUCAAUGUUGUAUUCACAUUUGAGAAACCAAAUAGCUUAUUAAUAUACACGAAUGAUUUAAGCAUUAUUCAUAAGGAAGCUUUUAGUGGUGGAUCGUUGAUACAAUAUUAAUGCUUUAAGAUUAAAAGUUUAUUCCAAGGAUCCUUAAUAAGGACGGUGAUUUCUUUUUAAGGUCCAAUGGAAUAGAUCGAUACCAAAAUUACGAGCUUAUGGAUAAACAAAAUCCCAAAGAAUAUAGUUGUGUAAAGGUAAUUGAAGAUUUUAGUAGGAAGUGCAUAUAAAAGUGAGAUAGUCCUUUGGAUUUGAUGAAUAUAACCGAGUUUUAGGUGUCUCAUUGAUGAAAAUGUUGGCUUCAUGAUGAUAAUAAGAUCUAAUUGAGCAUGAUGGUAAUAAGAGUUCGAUAUGGAUUGUGAUUGAGAUGCUUCUAUAUAAUAAAAAUUGUUGGUUAAAUGAAUUUUUUAUUACAAUGGUGACUUGCGAGUAUUUAAGGUUGAGGUUUGAUACAGUUGAGUAGCUUAAUUAUAUGAAAAGUUAUAAGAGAUGCUGAGACACCACUUGAAUAAAAUGGAAAGAAGCUAGAGUUAUAAAUGAAAAGAAUUAGAGUAAUGUAGUUUAGUCAUUGGAAAGAGGUGCAAACAAUAAUAUUUUAUUCUGAUUUCAAGGGCUAAGAAGGUAUCUUCAGAGGAGUUGAAAGUUGGGUCCAGAGACAUUUGUUUCCUUUAUUUUGCUCUACUUAUGAUAACAAUGUCACAAAUUCAUCAUAUUAGUUAAAAGCUAUCGGAUAAAAUUUGUGAAAGAAGUUUAUAUACGUUAAGGCCGAGUGAGAUGAUAAGUUUUUUCUUUAGCGUGUGUCUUUUGAGUUUGGUAAUAAGUACAGUUGAAUUUUAGUGAAAGAUAUGAUAAGGUCGAUGGAGACGCGAUCAAUGAUAAGCUAAGAUACGUGAGUUCAUAAAAAUCUUCAAAGUAUGAGCUAAUGUUGAUAGAUAAAGGUAUUUGGUUACACUGUUAAAUUCAAAAAAUUCAAGUUUUUCGUUGUGAAGAUUUGUGGUAGUGUGUUUGUCAAGAUAUGGAUUGAUAAGGUAAGAAAUGAUUCAUCACAUUGAGUGUGAAUUAUUUGGGAACACUUAAAAAUAAUUUGAGUAGUAAAUUUGGUUACUUUUGAUUAUUACACCUAAAAGGGGUUUUAGGUAAUAUUUUUAUUGAUUUAAAGAAUAAGGUGAAAAUAUCAUGGGUUAUGGGUCAAAUGAUAAGAUUGAUAAGCAAGUCAGUGAAAGAACAAAAAUCUUGUGUAUUGAAGAGUUUAAGGUAUAAAAUUUGUGUCACUAGAAGAAUUUAAGAGAUGUGAAGGAAUAAGACAUGUAAUAUAGACUCUUGGUUUGAAGUUAAAAGAUGUAAGGGUUUUCAUAUAUAAAUUACAAUAUUACUAUGGAUGUGAAUUAGUUCAGUAUGGAGAAAUUUAUCAACAAUUUUUAUGAAUAUUGGGUUUUCGUUUUGGGUGAAAAAAUGUGAGGUCUGUAAGAUUAUGUGUUGUUAUGUGGGGCUAAAUUAUUUAGUAGUAGAUGAAUUUUCAUGGAUAUGCGAUAGUAUGGACCUAUAAUUAUACAGGGUUAUCAAGAAUUUUUAGGAGAUUGAAGCUACUACUUUUUUAUAACAUAGACUGUUAUGAUGUGCUACAUGCGUAUUUGAUGGUGAGUAGGGAUAUUGAGCUUAUACUAUACAGAAUUAUUGAAGCUACUACUUUUUUAUAACAUAGACUGUUAUGAUGUGUUACAUGCGUAUUUGAUGGUGAGUAGGGAUAUUGAGCUUAUACUAUACAGAAUUAUUGGAGUGACCAAGAAUUUCUUUGACUUUUGGCAUGAGAUAAGUACAUGAUGGUAGAAUGGUAGUUGCGAAAUAGUAUUUGAAAGUUUACAUGAAGUUGACAUUUAGUGUGAUUCAAAUAUCGUACCUCGAUGGGAAAGUACUUUAGAUUUGAAAUUAGUGCUAUCUGUCUCGGGUGUGACUUAGAGUCAUAUUUUGAAUUUUCUUAGAGGUGACAAUGGAUUUAUAAGAAUGAUAAUGUAGUUAUGAUGUUUGUUGGUAUUUAGAGUGUGUUAGCUUCAGUGGGAUACUUUGAGAAGUAUGUGGGAGUUGAUGAAUUUAGUAUUUGUAAUAUUGUGAUGGAGAUCAAUUGAUUGGUUGUGGGUGGCUAAAAUCAUAUAGAUUGAGUCAGAUGAAUGAAAUUUUAUUGAUAUGGACACUAUGGAAAGAGUAUAUUGUGUUAUUCAAACUUUCUUCUAUAUAUUCUUCUGUGAAAACCUUCUUCAUUAUUGACAUGGUUUUAGCAUAAUUCACGUACAUGUUUCACUUUUAUGGGUGUAUCCCUAGUGGUGGAUCAGAUGUACCUAUCUUCUUAUGUCCUCUUUGAUAGGGUAGGUUCUUUAGGCAGACUUGGUUAUUUCAAUUAUGAUAGAUUUGAUGUUGUUUGGGAUAGUUAAAGUAGACCACUAUAUCUACCUACACAACCUUGCUUAUGAGAACUUAUGGAAGAGCUUCUACGAAAUAUUUACAGUUAGCUGAAAGUGUUGUUAGAGAUUUUGCAUUUUGGAGUGUAUCGUUUGUUGGAUGUUUACUUUAUUUUGUUCUUCUUUGGGUUAGAUAAGUUUGGUUCUCCCUUGAUGAAUAUAUGAUGCCUAAAGGUCAAAUUCCUAUAAAUUAAUCUCGGGAAAAGAUCAUGUUUUGAGAAGAGAAUUUUGACAAGAUUUGUGAUGAUUUGUGAAUUAUGCGUGUUUGAUGGUUUGUUCAGGUUCACUUCUGAUUGUUGUAAGUACUGAUUCAGGAUUUCAUCAUGGUUAUCUGUGAAAUAUUCGACUUAGUUAAUGUGUUAUGGUUUAGAGAAUUUUGAUUUAGAUUGUGUUCAAGGGUUAGUUUGAAGCUUAAUAAUCACUCCUGAUUUGUGAAUCUUCCAAAGUUUUAAUCGGAAGUCUAUUUCUUAUAUAGUUGAUCUUGAUGAUAUAGUAUUAACGAGGAGGUCACCAUGAGAGAUAUGCACAUGCAAACUCUGAAAGAUCAUAACUUACACUUCAAGUAACAUCGGUUGUUCAUCCUUUGCCUACUUUAUGUUCGAGGAAGAACAUGAGAUUUAGUGGUGGAUAAUUUAAUGACCCAAAAUGUCAUUAUUGAUAAUUUUGAAUAGUCAUUUAACUAUCGUUAAUUUAUUGGUGGGAAAUUUGUUUAACAUUAAUAAUAGUGGGCCAAGUCUUAUAUAUUAAAAUAGGUUAGUAAUUUUUUUUAAUUUCUAGUACAUAACUAAUUAAAAAAUAAAGAAAAGUGUUUGACGAGAGGAGUUGCAGUUCAGCGUCAAUGAGAAAAGCGGCCAACUGCUUCUGGUAAGUUUCUCAACAAAUCCUCUAACUAUCUAGUGAUUCUAAUUAGGUGUACACUAAACAAAUUAACUGGAGGCAAAAUGAAUUUAACUCUCAAAUUUUUUUAAUUAAAAUUAUAUGGACAAGGAUUAGUGGACAAUCACAUGCUACCAAUUGACCAACUAAGGUGUUGCAAGUAAUCAUUGGGUAGUUUUUGAUGACAAAUGUAUAAGGUUAUAAUUUUCCAUGUAAUUGGUUAGAAGUUCUACCUUUGUACUUGUUUUUGCUUUUGCCUCUUUGUAAUUUGUGGUUAUCUGUAAUUUCCAUUUUUCUCUUCAGACUAUUAAGUUACGUUUUAGAUUUGUCAAGGUAAAUCAAAUCUAGAAAUAUCAUAUUAUAUGAAUAUCCUUGGAUUUAAGUAAUUUGGAGAGACUGAAACAUAACCCUAGGUAAGAAAUUUAAAUAAAAAUGAUAAUUGAUAUAUUAAUUGACAUCAUGGUUAGGAACUUUAUUAUAGAGUUGAAUGAGUGUUUGAGUCUACGCUAGACUUGUAGUGAUAUGGUUGUUGUUAGUUUAAAAAUCUUAUUGUGAUUAUUUAUUUGAAUAGAUUGUAUUGAUAUGGGAGUCAACCCAAAGAGGAAGGCUCAAGUUAUUGAGUAAUUGUUCGACUAUUAGAGUCAAGUGGAUUUCUAAACUCUUGUUAAGUGUAUCAAAUGCGUGUAUUUUUUGUGGUAUAUGUUUGGGAGUAACGGAAUUGGUAAUGGGUUGACUUGUUCACAUUGAUUAACUCUAAUGAUGAAAAAGGGUAACAAAAGACAGUGUGAUUAAUUGUUUAUGUGUGAUGUGUUGAGAAAGGUGUGAAGCUUGUUAAGUCAUUGUUGAUGUGAUAUUCUUUUUCGGUUGUUGUGCAUUUUGCAAUGUUAUGAAAAUAGUCAUAUCCUCUUUAUUUGUGUGAACAUAUUAUUUACAUUAUUUUAAGACAUAGUUGUUACAGGUGUUAUGUGCAUUGAGAAAGAAUGAGAAUAUAGGAAGGAUGUACAAUUUCGAUGGACGUAUCGCGAGCCACGAUAGAUUAUUUAUUUCGAGGGACGUAUCGCAUGCCACGAUGGUACUAUUAUCGAGGUUCGUAUCGUGCUCGUGACAGAUUCAUGGACAGAUAUGUUCCCCAUGGGUCCCGGACUGAGAGAAUGCGAGUGUGUAUCGCUAGGUCAGACAUGCAUCAUUAUACUUGACAUUGAAUUCCAUUGAAUUGCACAUACUUAUCAUUUGUGAACUUGAUAUCGUGUUUUGCUGAUCUUCUGAUUGCCUUUCUGCGGAACUCGUGAUUAAUCAAUAUUGAGCUUGUUAUUUCGGAUAUAUAAUUUGUUGAAGUAUUGUUGUUGAGGAUAAUUUGUUGAAGUGUUGUUGCUGAGGAUAUGUAAUUUGUCUAAGUGUUGUUGUUUAGCUACGUGCUACGUAAACUAUGAGCUGUUAGGUUGGAUUGAUUUUAAUGAAGGUUGUAGUUGUGGAGGUUCGGUUGGGGGUGGUAGGAGUACCCGUAUUUCAUCCCCUUAGCUUGUGUUUAGAUGUUUACUUGCUGAAUACCGUGUGGUUUGGUACUCACCCCUUAUACAAUUUUUUGUAGGUUAUGAGCCUAGAUUUUUGUUAUACUUGUCAUUCUCUUCUUUUUUGAGGCUUCUUGGAGAUUUGUGCUGUAGUUGUUUCAUCUCAGGAGACAUUUUUCUCCUUAAUUAUGAUCUUGUUCUAUUCUAGAAACAUGUUAAUUUGAGACUUGAGUUUUUCUUUUGAAUCAAUUGUAAUAAUUUAGAGGCUUGUACACGUGACUACUAGGUUUUGGGGUUUUUAUUAAGUUACUUAUAUUAUAUUUCGG
rnacentral:lncRNA from 1 species